CCACUCGAGCAGCGCCCACCAUCUGCUGCCUCACAUCCAGCUGCCAACUCAGCCUCCACCAGGACAGUUCAAGCCACAGAAGAGGGUGCCGACUGCAGGCCUCACAACAUCCAGUUUUCGGCAUUGGCUUUCACCUAAGAGUUCACUCGGCCUCGGGGCGAGCUGUUUGGCGUGGUUGGGAGGAGGUGUGGUCUGUGAAAUCCACACUGGCUGCCUGACCCCAGGCUUAGAGCCACGCUCACCAUCCUGCCUUCUGAGUGUCCAGUGAGGCUCAGCGAGGCCUGGGUGGGACUCAUUACACUUGCUUCUGUCUUCACCACCCCAUUUCAACACAGGAGAAAGUUGAGGCCUGAGAACGGAGCCAGCCUGCCAAUGCCUGCCUGGGGGGCCCUGUUGCUGCUCUGGGCUGCCGCAGAGGCCACCAAGGACUGCCCGGCGGAGUGCACCUGCCAGGCCCUGGAAACCAUGGGGCUGUCGGUGGACUGCAGGGGGCGGGGGCUCACAGCCCUGCCCACCCUGCCCACCCAGACCCGCUACCUCCUGCUGGCCAAUAACAGCCUUAGCUCCGUGCCUCCGGGUGCCUUCGACCACCUGCCCCAGCUACAGGUCCUCGACGUGACGCAGAACCCCUGGCACUGCGACUGCAGUCUCACCUACCUGCGUCUCUGGCUGGAGGACCGCACGCCCGAGGCCCUGCUGCACGUCCGCUGCGCCAGCCCCAAGCUCGCCACGGCCCACCCCUUGGGCCAGCUCACGGGCUAUGAGCUGGGCAGCUGCGGCUGGCACCUGCAGGCAUCCUGGGCCUACCCGGGCUUCUGGUGGGACGUGGCGCUGGUGGUCGUGGCCACGCUGGGCCUGGCUCUCCUGGCUGGCCUGCUGUGCACCGCCACAGAGACCCUGGACUGAGCCCAGGACCCUAGGGUCACUCCCCCCAGCCUGAGCCCCCAGUAACCCAAAAUAAACUGCUCAACCAUUGUAUCCAAGCUCAGAAAAAUUGUGUUUCCUCUCGGUACCCAAGUCUGGCUCCUCCUGGAAACCUGGGUCCGUUUAGUUAUAACCUGAUAUCAACUGGGGCUUCUCUGUCCCCCAGGUUCCUAGUAAAAUGGGCUGUUCCACCUCCCCCACGCCAGCCACCCCCAAUUCCACCAUCUGUGGACAUCCCGAGCCCUUCUUCGGUGCCUGACAGGUCCCAGGACUCCGGUCCGCACGCUCUCCUCUGUCCCAGCGCCCACACGGAACACUCUGGAGGGCCCAGGCGAAUUUCACAUCAACACGUGGCUCCCGUCCAAAUUCUGCAGAAAGCUGGCUCUCACGACACAGCAGUGAGCAAGCGGGAGGCUCAGAAGACCCCGGGCAGGUGCUGACAUCAGACACCUCAAACUCUGGAGUCCCACUUGUACCCCAAGCAGUGGUCACCAAAUUCUUCAAACAAGACUCUUCUCUCCCUCAGAGGAUUCUGGUGCCAGCAGUUAAACUAAUAAAACAUUUCUCCACUGUA